GCUGAAACAGGUCUUUGAUGGCCGAGAGGUUAAGGUGUUGGACUAGAAAUCCAAUGGGAUCUUCCCGCGCAGGUUCAAAUCCUGCUCACAGCG